rnacentral:lncRNA from 1 species
CGGGCGAUUUUGAAAUUCAUUUAUUGUAAAUCUCUGGUUCUCUCCUGGCAGCUUCAAUAUGUGGUAUGUAAUUUGGGGAAUUUUAAUUUUUUUUCUCUCUUCUGUUUGAGCUUAUUGUAAUGAAUUCUCGUAUUUUUUUGUUAUAACUACGACCUGGGACUAUUAUACUACAUGUAGUAUAAGAGUACCAGCUACGACACACAUCAUAAUGUAUAGAUGCAAAUAUUAUGUACGGACAUCAAGCCGACCAGACAUUUGUCCAUUCUGUUAAGU